AAAGCAAGUUAAAUUAAACAUGAAAACAGAAACAAAGAAAGAAAGAACUCUAGAAACUCCAAUGGUUGAAGAUUGCAUGCGACAAAGCCUUCCUCCUCUCCAAAGGUCACGGCAAAGCUCCUCUCUUUGGUGGAAUGGAAGUGUUGCGGCAAAAGGAUGGGGGAAGGUUAGAAAAUAUGGAAGAAUGGUGGUAGAUGGCUUGCGGCAAGGAAGAAAAAUGGCUAGAAUUGUGUUUCUGAGGUUUUUGGAUGUGUAGAAUGGUGUGGCUGGAAGUAUGGACGAAAAUUCGGUGAUUCAACCCUAAAAUAUGUAUUUAUAGGCACCACAAAACCCUAGAGAAAUCAGCACAAGUAAUGGGCUAGGGUUUAGGGUGCGGCAAGGGUAGAGAUCCACAAUGAAUUAGGGUUUCUAGAAAGCCUUGCAAGGCAAGGAAAAUAGGGUUUCUAGAAAGCUUAUUUCAUCUAGAAGCCCAAAGCCAAGAAUAGAAACUCUCAAAAAUGGAAACCUUCAAGAAUAGAAACUUCCAACAUUAGAAACUUUGGUUGCCAAUUCCGACUUCUUUGUUCUUCACUUUCAUUUCUUCAUUUCUUAAACUCAUUUGACCUUCAAAUUUGUCCAUUCCCUAUGCUCCAUAAGCAUACAUUCCAUUUAAGCUCAUUUUUGCUCUAAAAUGCACCAAAAUGCACUUUCUUGCUUCAAUUGCCAUAUGAACCUACAAACACACGAAACUAGCUUAAAUCACUAUAAUAAACAAUAACUAACAACGUAAAUGCAAGAAAACAAGAUAACAAAGUCGCAUAAAUAUGCUCCUAUCAAAUUCCCCCACACUUAGCUUUUGCUAGUCCUCGAGCAAAAUAAAGAAUUAAAGAAAAACAAAACGAACAAAACAAACAAAACACAACCUAAACCUUCCAACAUUUACCUCAGGGAUUUCCAAUACACAUGACAUGUUAAAAAUCAUCAUUCCCACAGAUUUUAGUCAUCUUUACACUUAAGCACACACUUAAUCAUAGUCACCACGUACUAGUUCACAUUUAACCAAUUAAAACAUGAUUUUGAACGUAGUAACAUGCCCUAGAGAAUUUGCUCAAUUCCUUACUAGAUAUGCACUCAAUUUUCACACAGAUUUUCUGACUACACACCCCUAUACUAGUUAUAUGUGAGAAGAUUGAUGUAAAUAUGAAAACGAAUGCUCACAUAUAUGUUAUAACAAGGAAGGCUUUCUCUGAAUUUAAUAAGCAUGUAUAUGAUCUCAUGAAAGGAAUGCUACUACUUAGACGCGAGAACCAGUGACACCAUAUGCUCAUACCAAUCCCAAACUCCACAAAUUGAAAAUACACAACACUCAAGAUAGAAGUUAAGGGUUGUAACGGGG
rnacentral:lncRNA from 1 species